CCUACGGGUGGCUGCAGUCGAGAAUCAUUCACAAUGGGGGAAACCCUGAUGGUGCGACGCCGCGUGGGGGAAUGAAGGUCUUCGGUUUGUAAACCCUUGUCAUGUGGGCGCAACUUAAAAAGAUAGUACCACAAGAGGAAGCGACGGCUAACUCGGUGCCAGCAGCCGCGGUAAGACGGAGGUCUCAAGCGUUGGACGGAAUUACGGGGCGUAAGGCGUGCGUAGGCUGUUUCGUAAGUCGGAGGUGAAAGGCGCGGGCUCAACCCGCGGACGGCACAUGAUACUGCGAGACUAGAGUAAUGGAGGGGGAAACGGAAUUCUCGGUGUAGCAGUGAAAUGCGUAGAUAUCGGGAGGAACACUAGUGGCGAAGGCGGGUUCCUGGACAUUAACUGACGCUGAGGCACGAAGGCCAGGGGAGCGAAAGGGAUUAGAUACCCUUGUAGUC
rnacentral:rRNA from 1 species